rnacentral:misc_RNA from 1 species
AAAGUCGUAACAAGGUUUCCGUAGGUGAACCUGCGGAAGGAUCAUUAACACAAAAAAAAGUCCUCUUUUUCGAAAGAGGACUUCUUUUAUCCACCCCUUUUGAACGAACGAUGAUUUAUUUCAUCUUGUCUCUUCUUUAUCCCAAACACUAUUUUAUUUUACCCCAUAUACCAAACAUGCGAUAGACUGAUAUCAUUUUUAUGAUCAUUAUCUUUUUGAUUUAAUGAUUACUAAAACAACUCUUAGCAACGGAUAUCUUGGCUCUC